ensembl:lncRNA
CUUAUAUAUAUAUAUAUAUAUAAUAUAUAUAUUAAAGAUAUUUCAUGAAGUUCUUAUUUCAUGGCACAGUUACAAGUAGAUAUUUCCUUCUUCAUUUUCACAAUGUCCUUCCUCUUCUCACUGAAUUAAAAUGGUGCCCUCUAGAAAAACAGGGAAGAAAAUAUCUUGCUGUAGAAAUGGGCUAUGCACAAGCACUUAGACAAAAUCUGUCACAUAGAAAAUACAGGAUCCACAGCAACAAAUCAUGUCCAGAAGAAAUUGGUAUAAAUAAAAUAGAUAAAUUUAUUUAUAAAAUUAGGGAAUAGGGAAGAUAAAAUUAGGGAAACAUUUGCAAGGGUGGCCUACCAGAGACAAGGAGGUGUAAAUGAAUAGAGUUCUUUUAAACUUUUCCCUAGUAGUGCUAUUAUUGUUAUUACUAUUACUAUGACUACUAGUACUAAUACUACUAUUACUACUACUACUACUAAGUUCUAUCCUGGAGUGCUUAUGCCUUGAAGUAUAACAGUUCUAUCCUGGAGUGCUUAUGCCUUGAAGUAUAACAGUUCUAUCCUGGAGUGCUUAUGCCUUGAAGUAUAACAACUCUUCAGAAAAAGAUAGAGAACAAUCUAGAUUUUAGCAAUACUUUCAUGUAGUUUUAAAGUUGUUGCUUAUGUUCGUAGUGGCAGAAAUCUGCAGACUCUGAGGGAAAGUGUCAGCAAGAGUUUGCGAGAACAUAGGUAUAUGUCUGGGUAGUAUGGAAUGUGAAGUCAUGCAAUAGGUUUUCAGAACUGUCACUGCCCAGAAGAUCCACAUGCAUGUGUACUAGGGGCUGAAAUCUAUUGCAUCAACAAGGGCAAAAUUACAAAGAACCAUAACAAAAAGUUUUAGAUAGUAGUUUUUUUAAUAGAAAGAAAUUAUGUAGGUAUUUAUAUGAGGAAAAGCUGCUAAUGUUCUGCUUGGGCUGACAGGGAUAAUAAGGGUGGUAACAGUUCUAAGCACCAUUCAUAGAUUGGGGUUGAGUCUCGCUAGGAAGUGAAGGAGUAAUGUAACUUGGGCAGACCCAUAGGAAAGAAGAACAAAAAUCUUAACAGAGACAGGGAACCAGAGAGAAGGGAAUGUACACGAACAAAGCAAAAACUCCAGGUUAAAACAGCUAGGUGUCAGAAUUAGCAGUAUCCAUGAGAGUGAGAAGUAUCUAUGGGAAAAUGUGAAAGAAGAUGAAGGGCAAAAGAGGGAACAGAAUGCAGAAGUGGGCUGUGAAUCAGCAGCACAGAAUGACCAGAGCAAUAUGUGAGAAGGGAUAAAAUAGUAGAAAUUAGUGGUUUGAUGUAAGGAACACUUUCAGCAGAAUGGGGCCAAUGGACUAGAAGAUGCUUAUAAUGGCUAAAUCAUAGGUUUUGCAGAGUACUAUUACAGCAUUUUGACAGUGCUCAAUACAGACAAAACUGAACUUUCUUUGCUUUCUAAAUUGCAGGUAAUGCCAUUAAUUAAAAGUCUUUUUUUAUAGAAAGGGGCUAAGACGCUUAUAUGUUCCUUUCAAACAACCAUCUUCUCCCAAAUCUGAAUCUCUUUCUCUGUAAUUUUAGCCUGAAAUGAUAAAGAUUUGAAUAUUUAUUUAUUUAUGAAAACAUAUCUGUGAUUUUUAUCUUGUCUGUUCACCUUGUUUUCUGUAUCUUAUUAUUUCUGUAUAACUUUUGAUGCUGUUAUUCUUCCAUCAAGUGCAAAUGCACUUCAUCCUCAGAAGAACUGUAGAUUAGACAAAUAAUUUUCUCUAUGAAAAAGCAGAAUUGAAGAUGCAAAAUUAAGUUUCGUUAAAAGUUCAUGUACAGAGUGAGUUCUUGAUUUCUAAACACUGAAAGUGGAUAUUUCAUAUGGAAUUCAGCGAAUAGUUUCUCUUCAGUUCUUUUAAGCAUAUAAUGAUUCUUGUGUUGCAUAAGUGAUGGAAUUAUUGGCUCCCCUGCCAUGCCUUAGCUGAUGUCCUGUGGUUCACCUGGCUUGAUUCAUGCUAGCAAUCUCCAAAUCCAACAACAGUGCCCAAGUUUCAAGCAAAACAGGUAAUAUUUUUUUUCUAGUUAGUGCACUUUGCUUGUCUAUUAUGGGGAAAAAAAAAACAAAAACAAACAAACAAAAAACCUAAACCAUAAUGAAAAAGAAAAACAGUUGUGUACACUGCUAGGCUAGAAAUACUAUGAGAAGCUGUUGAUGUAUGGGGCAAGAACUGUCAAAUCAGAAGGCACAUCCCCUUAGUGAGUCAUGGAGAUUUGUUGAUUAAAAAAACAUUUAAGUACAUGUUAAUGAAAUGUUUUGUUUCACUGUGAGCCUUUUAUUAUACCAAACCACUAGAAGUUUUCUGCACUUUUCUGAAGUCCUGCAGUAAAACAUGAAGUGUUGGGAGCAACUUCUUGAAGAUGCAUUCUCUACUUAACCCAGUUCUGCUUGAGAAUCUAAAAAAGAAUCUAAUCUGUAUGAAUGUUAUCUGAGAGAAGUGAAAAAAAAAACAACCACAUUCCUCUUUCAAACUGUUUUGAUGUACUUCUAUCACAUCAUUCCUUCCUCAUCUCUCUUACAAGCUGAAGUAUCUUAUUUAAAAUGUCCUCAGAUGAAGGAAUUCCUAUUGGUAAUCUUUCCAUUACCCUACACUCUUCCUUUACAGGUUCCAUCAUACCUUUUUGGCGAUGAAAAGUACUGGAUGUAGUGUUCUAAAUGUCUGCCCACCAUGCAUUUAACAUGCUUCUAUUUUCAGUGGAACACCUCCUUUAAAACUAUUCUUUGACAUAUCCACGUGUGAGGUUGGGGUAAGAACACUUCUAAAAUCUUUUUGCUGAGUACUGUGCUUUCGCUGUGAUGUCUUUUAAGUUUCCGUUCUGUUUACAAGCACCUUAUUCUUCCACUGCCACUUUUAUUUUGGCUUUAAUGGGCUUAUUUAUUUCUAUGCAGUUCCCUAUUUCCAGACUCAGUGCUGCAGUUUCUUUUUUGCUCUUACUGGGAGGUUGAAGAUUACCUUGUUACUAUAGGAUGCUUCUUUGACAAAGACUUCAUGAGCAGAGUUCGUGCUCAUCCAAGACUACACCGAGGUUACUGUCUUUUUCUGUGGGGAGUCUUGACCAGAAUUUUCAUCAGUGUCAGUGUUUGAUCUUUUUGCUGAUGCCAACAUUCUGCUUCAGGUAGUGAGAAAAGCCAAAGGCCUCUGGACUGGUUUCUUGUCUAAACAGAGGUUGCACGUGAAACAGCUCUGUUGUAGUGUGCAGUCAGUCUGGUCAUGUGAAAAUGACUUGGAAGAUGAUGGUUGUCCAAACAGCCCCAGCUGAUUUAUAUCCUCUCAUAGCUGUGAACUGAUACUCUUCAGUAGUUGCUUUGCUAGCCAUGAUUAUGAUGUAGCACAUGGGCAUGACGCAUAUGAUGAAUACUGAAGAUACAUGUACAAGCUGCAUGUAGUCCAAGAGCCAUAAACUAUUCCUCCUGACUUUAGAGGUAAGCUUUUUUGUCCUUGGGACACACUUGUGGCUGUGGCCAUCGAUGAAAUGCAUUUUUGUAUCCCUGCAGGCCAGUAGCAAUUUUUAGCCCUUUGAAAUGUGAAGGAUAUUGUGACUCCUUUACUGAUAGAUCUGUUCUUGGAUUGUCCCCUGGCUUGGAUUAUUCUGUGGUAGAUAAAAAAUAUGACUUUUUAUAGGGCUGUGAGUUCCCUAAAUCAGGAAAUAUCUUUUCUGAAUAAUUGGACAUCACUUAAUAGGCAUCACUGCAAAUGCAUUAAUAGUGUAACACCCUCUACUUCAUCCUUUUGACCUCAUCUACAUCAUGUAUAUUUAUUCUUUCCCUGAUAAAAACAUUAACCUCUUAUCUUGCCUUAGGUUCACAUAUUCAUUCACUAUUUGAGAAAACAGAGAGAGAGGAAGGAAGGAAGGAAUGUAGAGGGAGAGGGAGAGAGGGAGGGAUAAAGGAAGAGAGGAGCUUUUAGCAUUCUGUAGCCGAGCUGCCUGAUGUAAUGUGUUAGAGGAUAUAGGUGCCAGUAAUGUGCAAAGAGCUUGAAAAAUGACCAGACAGUGCCAAACCCACAGUGCAUGUUGUCAAGAGGGCUAACAGUAUAAUAAAUCAACCUGUCUCGUGUCAAGGGUCAGGUGGUUUGAUGUUCAAAGCUUUUCGGCCAGCCUGAUCCAGCCAGGCAGAUGCUAUUCAUUUCUGAGCCUCCAGCACUAUUAUGAUACUGGGAUCACCAUAAAGAAGUGCCAGCCCUGUGGUUCUUUGGUCUUUAAGUCAAGAUCCCAAAGGGGAAAAUUAUCCAGGAGAAGAGAGCAAAGUGCUGCUUAGUUUCAAACCUUAUGCUUUCCUCAUAAUUAUUUUUUCAAAGCAGCACUGAGAAAAGCAUGGAAAACCAUGUCAGAUGGAUUUUUCCUAUGCUUUCUGUAUAGGACAGUGAUGCUUAACCUUUUCUUAUCUGAGCAAGCCAUAUGGGCCCACCGUGAUGGGUGGGGACAACUGGCUCUGCCUUCCUCUGUUCAUGUGACCAUGUACCUACUCAAAAGAAAUGUCAUAUUUUGAGUAAGUGGAGGAUGUGAAGCACAAUAUAAUUAAACGAUCCACUCCAGUCACAGCUACUGUACCUUCCUUCCGUGAUGUUUAGAGGGGCUAGAGGGAGGAGACCCUGCCUCUGGCCUGCCAAGCUAGAAGGAGGGUCUUUCCACAUGUGUCUUACACUGUGUCUGCAGGGCUGGAUGAGUGCAGGGAAUCUGCUGUAGGCAUUGCAGGCCAAUCUGAAACUUACAUGUUCAGGAUCUUUAAUUAGCUUUGUUAGUUGGGAAUAUGCAAGGAGAAAGGUUAAAGCAGCAAAUCAGGCUAAUUACAGGCAGGAGGUCCCAGGAGUUCAGAUCUAGUGAUCUUCCCUGGCCCUAAGAGGGAAGCAGUUAACACUGUACUGUCUCUGCCAGUGCCACAGGGCUGCUGUUUUCCCAGUCUUUGGGCUUUAAGAGUGGUAACUCCUGCUUCCUUCAGAACGCCACACAUCUGCAACUGUAAAACUGGGGGCUCUAUAGGCACCAACACAGUGUCCCAAAUUAUCAUAGAAUGGCUUGGGUUUAAAAGGACUCAUCUCUUAGCAAAUUCAUUUCUAAUAGCCUCUUCCCAUUGUUGUAGAAACACUUCUGCACAUUUUCCCCCUCUCCAGCUACAUCAUCAGUGCACUGUUAUUUCUAGUGUUAUAUAAAUUAGAGUCCAAAAUAUUGAAACUAAAAUGUCAUGGGGGAAGUUGGGUUAAAGGAGGCAGCUGAGGUACUGAAACAUCCAAGUGUCAGAGGCAAACUGACAUGAGGACCAAUAACAUGGAGCAAAAAUGCUGGUAGACAUGUUACACAGCAAGUGAUUUUGUAGCAGAUAACAAAUUCUAGAAGAGUAGUUGGGUGAAUUCUGUAUCAGCAGAUACAGAGGAAAUUUCAAUGAUAAUCUGUUGUUGUCCAAAGAGCAAGCAAAAAUAAAACACAUCAGAUACCCAAAAGAAAAUCAGAACUCCAACCCAAAGAAUCCAAAACAAUGAAUACCCAUCAGAACUAUAAAACAAUUAGAUUCAAACAGUGUCUACAGGGAAGAUUUGGUGCGAGUCUUAAAUAGUAGUAGACUGAAUUUGGUUAGUUUGUUUCCAGGAUUUUUCUCAGAGAUUUGUUAACUCCUAUGUUGGAGGGUUAUUUUGCUCAGAGGAACAAAUGUGGGUAUGAUGUAAGUCAUAACCAUAUGUAUUUUGUUUUAUCAUUUCAUAUAUCCUGCGUGGAUAUUAAUUCCACUGCAUGUUUCUACUUUUUUUUUUCUUCCAGAAAAUAACUCCCCUCACCAAGCCCCGAUGAGUACAGUGGUUGUCUUUUCUCAAAAAGGAAUAAGUCACAAUGAUUCUAUUUUUUUUUUGUGUGUGUGUGUUGUUGUUUUUUGUUUGUUUGUUUGGUUGGUUUUUUUUACAUACCCAAAUCCUGUGAAGGACUUUACCAAAUGAAGGUCAGCAGUUGUUGAAGUACUAGUCUGGCAGUAGCCAGAGUCUCCUGCAUCAACAACAUGGAACUAAGUCAACUUUUACUAGCUCCUUUCCCCAUCCACAGACUGCAUGAUAAUGCUUGAAGCCUUUAUAAAUGUAUUUGGGCAAUGUAUAAAAUGUCAUUUGUAUGAGUAAAUGAUUAUCAGCAGAGUGCCUCUCUGAAGGAUCGAAGUGUGAGACAAAAGACAAAAUACAGAUUUGAUCAGUUCAUGACUAUAUGUACAUAGUUAAGAUUUACAAUAUAAAGAUUAUUUUUUCAAAUUAUAAUGCCUGUCAAAUUAUAAUACUGUCACCGUUAAGAGUUUCUGAAAAUCCCACCUACAUAUUCCGGUAGGAAAUUAUGCAAAGGCAAAGUGUUAUGACAGGGAAGACUGCUCUAUCUGCAGUAGUUUUAGGCAAUGUAAUAAUAAAAAUAGAACAAUAGAUUGUAUCAAUAGAGCAAAGAAACAAACAGUGAAGGCAGAGGUCAGAAAGGACAACUUGAUGUAAAAAUAAAAUAUAUUCUUCAGCUAUAGCAGUUAAAUCAGUACUUGUGAUAGCAGAGUUGGACUGUAUUAUCAAGUCAAACUCAGACAGUGAGCAAGGGUAUCAUCUCAGAGACUCAAGGGGAAAACUAUGGAUUAGAACAUGGAAAGAAAAUAUAAGGGAAGAAAAUAUUCAAGGUGUGAAAAACUAUUUCUGCCAGUGGUUAACUGAGGUGAAAUUUUUUGAGGUUUCCAUCCUUCCCAUUGAAAUUUGAGGCCGUCACUAUAUGAUAUGUUGUCUUUGGCAGCAAAGCUGGCUAGAAAGUUCCCGAGAUCCACUGCCAUUUCAUUGCUACAUGUGUUUGUUAAUAAAUGCUUAUGUCUCUGCGCUGCUGACAGGUGACUCAGAUGGUAUGCAGUCAAAACAGCCAUUCAAAACUUUUCAGUCUGAAAAAACAAAGGCUCUCUGACCUGAACCAGUUUAGAAUUUGAGGUAGUGUUGUAGGCCACAACACGAGCUUCAGUGAUGAACCAGGAUAGCAUCUGGUAACGACAGGAGAUUUGUGCAAUCUUCCUCUUCAGUAGUUCCACUCAUACAGGAAAGUGACCCAGAGCAGAGGGAUAAAAUAACCUUUGUAUCCUCUUGUACCUGAACAGCAUGAGCUGGUCUGGGGAACGGUCAGCUCUGCCCUUCAGACUUCAAUUGCAUCCGGCCAUGUAUGCUAUGCAGGUUUCUUGUUCACUGGGUGAUCUUGAAGUGGCCUUGCUAAAAGCUCUCUCUGCCAUUUCCAAAGGAGAUAAAUCUACCUAGAGCCCUGGGAAGCAGAAUUGCUCUUCUUUUUGAAGUGAAGGACCAGUGGUGAACUGGCAAUGAUCAUGACAGUGCCCCUCAUUACUCCAGCCCUCAGCACAUGAGCCCAGGCGACAUGCACUCUAUGCUCUGCUGAGGAAGAUCACAGCGAUCUUGAUAUGAUGGCACAGGACAAGAAUACAUAGACUUGGCUGGAUCAAAAGCAAUGUGCUGAGACUCUACAUCAUCUUGGUGCUUCAGGAGACUAAUUUCUGGACUAAACAGUCUUUGAAAUGAUUCCACAUCACGAGCUUCCGUCCCCACCUUAGUCAAGUCCUGUGAUCACCAAGGCAGACAAAGACAAGCACAGAAAACUGAGGACAAAUCAGGAGCUUCACAGACUGUUUUUAAUUGGGAGGAAACAAAAGAAAAAAUAUCACAAUUUGUACAAGAUGGUGAGAUGGACUCAUUUUAUGAGUAAUAAAAUAAACUUUGGUUCUCAUUUAUUCUAAUUGUCCUGAAAGAUCUUCUAGAGGCAAACAUGAGAGACACAAGACAAAUUACAAAAUUUUCAUCCCUAUCACACAAUUUGUCAUGUUACAGACAUCAGCAAAGAACUAACUUGACUCUGCCUUUAACGCAGGUCAUCUUCUAGAAGUCAUCUUAUUAUGCUACAGUUUUUAAGUUGGGCUGCCCAAAUAGUCUCAAUAUUUUACUGGUAUUGAAGGAAAAAAAUCUCAUGCUAAAUAUAGUGGAAACAAAGCAAAGAAAUAGAGAAUAAUAAAAAAAAAAAAUACCACCAGUCCCAAAGAGUCACUGAUUUUAUACUGAUUGCAUCUAGACUGACUUUUAAUGGUCUGAGUCCAGGAUUCCAUUAGUGUUUAAUAAAUGAUGGUAAUGAUAUCCUACCUAAACAAUGCACACAGAGCUCCCAUUGACUUCAACAUGAGUUCUCGGUGCAGACUGAUGGCAGGAUAUUCCUGUGACAGAGAUGAAUUUUCCAUUAGAACAAAAUGAGGAAGACCUGUCUCAGUCAGCAGAAUUCACAGCAACAAGAAAUAUUCCUUGGGGGCUCAGUGAAAGAUGGCCAUCCUGAGUGGUGGAAAGUAAAUUGGGUGGGAAACUGUGAGGCAUACUUGGACAGUUGUAAAACCAAUUAAAACCAUCAUGCAGUUAUAUUGAUGUUUAAUUUGUAUCAUCUGGAAACCACAACUUCCUUUCUCAUCACACCAUGGGGGAAAUUGCUGUUCUUUUUUAUAUGAAGGCAAAGAGUGCAUUUAAUAUUGGGAUAGAAGAGAGAGUGUGUACGUCUAGUACUAUGUCUUGAUUACCAACUUUCACUCAGAAUAGGGAAAGGAAAAAUGAAAUGCUGUUAGUUAUAAACAAUGGAGAACCAUUACCCAUACAGAAAUUUGGGCAACGACACAAAGAAUUCAGCUGAACGUUUUCCUUCAAGGAUUUUGUUAAAAAUACAGUCAAUGAGUUGAUGUGAAGUCAGCUUUGCAUGUGGCAGAGAGGCAGCUAAGUACAACAGGGGCAGAGAGAAACCUCUUUUGGCAUUGCUUUUAUUGUGAAAAAGGGAUAUAUUUUCUGCAAAAAAAAAUAAUUUUGAUUUUGUUAUCAAUUUCUUCUCUUGGAAGACUAUAUGUUUCACUUGAAUAUUUGGGUCAAAAACACAAAACUUUCAACCUUUUCUAAGGUAUUCACUGAAGGGAAAAGGAAAAGGAGUUAAUAUAAGAAAACACAAGUAAUUCAAUUACUUUUUUUGAUAGAUGUUUAAUAACAAUAGAUUGAUGCUAAAUGAACAUGUAUAUUUCCAGGAGCAAAUAUGUAAUUUUUGGAAUGCAUCUUAGAAAAACAGGAUGUAUUUGGCUGGGGAAAUACCUUUGCUUUUUAUGAUAUAUUAAUGAUCUUAGCAAAAAACAUCAUGUCUUAGAAUAGAUGAUUAAAAGGAUGAAGAAAACCAGCAUCUGAGUGAAAAAUCAAAGGCAAAAGUAAUUGUAAGUAAGAUGGAUAGCAAAUCUCACCUACUAGUGGAGUAAAUAAAAUACACCAGAAAAAUAUCUCUUCCUUCCCCAUUAAGUUGUUAUGCACUAGCAAUGCAUACUACAGGAUCAGGAUAAUUAGGAAAUCCCAUUAUUUUGUAAAAACCAUUUUUGGAUGGGCAGAACUGAGGUAUCUAUCUAAUAAGUGUGGAUUUUUUAAAUGCAAAACUGUCAGUUCAUGUCUCUACAGUGGUGCAAAUUAGGCACCCAAAAUCCAGAGUGGCUUUUCAGAAUUUUGAUCUGGAUUUCACUCCAAGCUCCUGGAGAAUUGUACUUUUUAUUUAGUAAGAUUCUCAGCUUUUAUUGCUCUAAGAAGUGAUCUUGACAAUUUUCUUUUUCCACUCACAUUAUGGCUUUUACAUGGCCUAGUGCAAAGAAUAUAAAUAUUGCUUGAGCUACUUAUAGGUGCAAAUGGAAAUGUGAAAAUAUUUAUGGCUGAAAUGAAAGUAUAAUCUGUAUUGCUUAAUUAUGAUAAUCCAGGGAAAUUAUUCUCGCAUAAUGCCCUAUAAAGCAGUAAAAGGAAAAAUAGCUAGCUGCUCUUUUUUGUUGCUUGCUUCAGAUAGGUCCAGGUAAGAUGUUAGUAAACUUGCAUUUCAUGUUGACUAUCUUGUUUAAGCUGUAUGUUGUAAAAGUAUAGUACUCUAAAUUACAAUUUCUAUUGCUUGCGAAGUGCUGGGAGAAGGCAUAGAUUUCAGUGUAAUAUCAUUCAAACUAAUCUCUGAAUCUGUAGGAAUUCUUGUUUACUUAUUUGUAAUUAUUUAACAUCUGUUGACUUUAG